GGAUAACCUACCCUUAGGACUGGGAUAACCCUGGGAAACUGGGGCUAAUACCGGAUAGGCAAUUUUUCCUGGAAUGGUUUUUUGUUUAAAUGUUUUUUCGCCUAAGGAUGGGUCUGCGGCCGAUUAGGUAGUUGGUUAGGUAAUGGCUUACCAAGCCGUUGAUCGGUACGGGUUGUGAGAGCAAGAGCCCGGAGAUGGAACCUGAGACAAGGUUCCAGGCCCUACGGGGUGCAGCAGGCGCGAAACCUCCGCAAUGUGAGAAAUCGCGACGGGGGGAUCCCAAGUGCCAUUCUUAACGGGAUGGCUUUUCAUUAGUGUAAAGAGCUUUUGGAAUAAGAGCUGGGCAAGACCGGUGCCAGCCGCCGCGGUAACACCGGCAGCUCUAGUGGUAACAAUUUUUAUUGGGCCUAAAGCGUCCGUAGCCGGUUUAAUAAGUCUCUGGUGAAAUCCUGUAGCUUAACUGUGGGAAUUGCUGGAGAUACUAUUAGACUUGAGGCCGGGAGAGGUUAGAGGUACUCCCAGGGUAGAGGUGAAAUUCUGUAAUCCUGGGAGGACCGCCUGUUGCGAAGGCGUCUAACUGGAACGGUUCUGACGGUGAGGGACGAAAGUUAGGGGCGCGAACCGGAUUAGAUACCCGGGUAGUCCUAACUGUAAACGAUGCGGACUUGGUGUUGGGGUGGCUUUGAGCUGCUCCAGUGCCGAAAGGGAAGCUGUUAAGUCCGCCGCCUGGGAAG
rnacentral:rRNA from 1 species